CCUACGGGGGGCAGCAGUGGGGAAUAUUGGACAAUGGGGGGAACCCUGAUCCAGCCAUGCCGCGUGUGUGAAGAAGGCCCUCGGGUUGUAAAGCACUUUCAGUGAGGAAGAACGCCUGGUGGUUAAUACCCAUCAGGAAAGACAUCACUCACAGAAGAAGCACCGGCUAACUCCGUGCCAGCAGCCGCGGUAAUACGGAGGGUGCGAGCGUUAAUCGGAAUUACUGGGCGUAAAGCGCGCGUAGGUGGCUUGAUAAGCCGGUUGUGAAAGCCCCGGGCUCAACCUGGGAACGGCAUCCGGAACUGUCAAGCUAGAGUGCAGGAGAGGAAGGUAGAAUUCCCGGUGUAGCGGUGAAAUGCGUAGAGAUCGGGAGGAAUACCAGUGGCGAAGGCGGCCUUCUGGACUGAAACUGACACUGAGGUGCGAAAGCGUGGGUAGCAAACAGGAUUAGAUACCCUAGUAGUC
rnacentral:rRNA from 1 species